rnacentral:ncRNA from 2 species
GCCUAUUGCUGGGGGUCUCUUAAUCCUUUAUCUAAUCAGGGUUAUAGAGUGAGAGUUACCCUUUGAACCUGACGCGGAUAAUCCCGCCGUAGGGAAGCCACUGAUAAGCCUC